rnacentral:lncRNA from 1 species
AAAUGUAGUUUUUCACCCGCGUACUACGUUUGAGAAUGUUGAGAAAAAUGAAGACUUAAAUGAAUGAUGAUCGUGUGAUAAGAAAGUUAUUAUACGAAAGAAUAAAUACAAGUAUAAUACAAGGUAUUAUAUAAGUAUAUACGAAAGAUGACAUAAUGUAUAUGAUGAAUGUUAUACGAACUAACGAGGAUUAUACGUUAAAAGCUUAAACCAUUAUAAUGGACUAGUAGGAUUUGGUUAUGAAUUUGGCAAGCCCAAAUGAAAUUAUGUUAAGGCCCAAAGAUAAGUAAUGCAAGCCUACUGUUAGGCCCACAGUUAAUUAAACUUAAGCCCAAACCAAGAACCAAACCCCUGGAUCGAACUGAUGGGUCAUCGGGUAAGAAAAAC